GUAUACUGUGCUUCUUCUUCUUUAGGCAUUCUGUUCUUGCCAUUACCAUUAAAACCAAACCAGUAAAAUCAUUCAAGAGAGAUCUUCGAAAUUAGGGUACCAUUAAAAAAAUAAAAUUGUUGUUUGAUUAUUCAUAAGAUUUAAUGGUGGUAUACCAAGAGUAUUACCAGCGUUUGUGUUCGAUUACAGUGCACAGAAGUUGAGAUUUAAGGAAGAAGAAGAAGAAGGAAACUUUUGAAUUGAAGCAAUAUGGGUCUUCAAAUGGAUGAGUUGUUAGGACAGUUGGAAAGAAUUUCAAAGUAAAGAUGAGGAAGUGACAUGAUGCGUUUGAAUGUAUGGGAUUUCUGUCGAGCUUGGAAGAAUGGUUUUGUGCUUGAUAAAGUGGUAGUUCUAGGAGAAGUUUUAGCUAAAAUUAAGCAGUGAAGAAUCAGGCAAAGUCUUGACUUGCUUCUCCAUCUAACAAUGUCGGAACAACGUCAAUUUCCAGCUUUUCUACCUGGAUUCCAUGGGAACGAAAAAAUCACAGGAGAAGAACGGAAGAGGAUGAAGAAGAAGAUGAGUCGAGUCAUGAGUUGACUAGGCUGUAAAAGGUCUACAAUAGCCUUGUCUCGUGUUAAAUUAACGGUCGUUAAUGUUCUUUUGAAAAAAAGGAACGGAAAAGUCUAACUCGGCCACUUUAUAAAAGGAUAAAAAAAAAAGGCCACUUUUUUAUGAUUUUUUUGCUAAGAAAAAAGAUUGCAUUGAAGAGCUUCCAGUAUUACAAGAGUUUUGCUAAGAAAUUAGGGAUGAUUUCCCACCACUCAUUACAAAUGUUAAAACGCCUGCAAUACUUAGCAGCUUUGUCUGCUAUAGAGUUGAGAUUAAUAACACCAACUGUCCUAACAACUCACUGCAAAUCCAUGAUUACAGUAGUUUAAUAACAGAUUACAGUCAUCCAUGAUUGUGCAACUAAACCAACAGAGACUACUGUUUUUAUUCUUCAAGUAAUCAAUCACUCUUUUUGCAUCACUGUAAAUACUGCUAGAAGACAGGUUCAUUCGGAAGUAAAAGGAGAAGAAAUUAUCAAUUUGGAGCAUAAAAGACGGAAUUGUCACUUCACAGGCGAGUGAUAUGAGAUCCAGUUUCUUAUAAUCGGCUUGUAGAUCAGCUGGUUUCGUGCCAUCCACAGAGGUUUCAUGCGCUCCAGGAGGUCCCAGGUUCAAGUCCCAGAUAAUCAAUAUUACAGAGUUUGACAUGGACGGUAGAAUUAGCUUGCCCCCUUGCGAAGACAUUAGCUACACUUUCCGCUUCGGCUCCCUCGGCUUUGGUCCUCAUGAGGCUCGCUCGUAGGCUAGCACGGCAACAUGUUCAACUUAUGUAGUAGUACGUUGGUUGGAGCUUAGCUUGUUAAGCUUCCAAUUAGUUAAGAAAAAAAAAAAAAAACUAAGUUUCAGCGGAGAAAUCAUUUUUCUUCUUCUGCCUAAACCGAUGGUGGCUCCACUGUUUAUCCAAGAAACAGUGAAUCUCAGAGAAUUGUGAUUGAGAGAACUGAGAAAGAUAUAGCAGGAGAAGAUGAUGCUGUAGUUAUUCCAUAUAGUGGAUUUAGGUUAAAAUCUGACUAAAAUUGUGUUGAGAUGGGGUCUGCUAUUGAUGUUGUUUAUUGAGAGAUUCAAAUGCGGGUUUUUGUGAUAAUAAAAUGGAAGAUGGGUUUGAUGGAUGUCGUUUAAGAAGUUAGAAGUUGGAGCUGUUGAAUGGUGAUGUUGCCAUGAAGAUUCAAAUCAAAUGAAAAGAAUCAUGGAAGAUUCUGUUUUUCCUUGAUAUCUGUUUUUCCUUGAAUAACUAUUUAGUUAGUAAGGAAUUGAAGUUAGGGUUUGAAGAAGAAUCAAAUUGAGCAAUGGGUUGUGAUGAUUGCUGCACAAAGUCAAGGAAAUGGGUCUGCUGUGAAGAUUGAGAUGUUGAAUUUGGGUUUUGACAGAAGAGAACUGAGUCUGGUUGUUGCGGUUCUGUAGGUUGUCCUGGUCAAGAAUUGGAGGGUGAAUUAGAAGAUGGCAGUGAGAAGCAGAUGUUGUAGCUGGCAUUGAAGCUCAUGUCCUGUCAGCUGAGUGAUCAAAGGGUUGCUCUCAUAUUCGAAUUGGUUGUUACUAUGAAUAAUGGUGGUAAUCUGGUUUGUGAGUUGCUGCUGCAAAUGGAAUUUGAUGGCUGAUGUUGGUGUUUUUCUCGAUGGGGUUGUUGAACUGGUAGAGAGAAGAUGGGAUACAGGAUAUUUCCAAGUAUUGACGGUGGUCACAGUCGAGAUUUGAUGGUGGUUAUUGCAGUUUGGCUAGUGUUCAUGGUACUGACUUGUAGAAGAAAUUGAAGCUGCUGCGAGCCAUGGUCUGAGGAGUGUUGCCAAGGGUAUGAUAAUUUGAGAAAUGGUGGAGGAGAUGCGAAUGUGUUUUGGUUGAAUUGCAGAUGGUGGUAGCUGGUGGUGUUGCUGAAUGAAAGAAAUGAGUUGUGCUGGUAAUGGAAUUACAGGGAUUUGAGUGUGCUGGUACUGGUACUGAAACUGCUAUGGGUAAUGGUUGGAACUUGAGGUGAGGUUGGAUUGAGCUGUGCUGUUGAGGUUUAUAGAAUGCAAUAAAAAGUGCAGAUGAGUUGGUGCUGCAGAUAGCUAUGGGUCAGAUGAGAAGAACAAGAAGCUAAUGGGAGAUAAGAACUGAAAUGGGUUUGUAGAUGGCUUGAGAUGGUGGUCUUGACCAUGAUGGUACUUGUGGCUGAAACUCAAGUUACAAAAUGGACUGAGAAAGUGUUGGUUCUAUGAUGCCUGCAAUGGACUAGGUGGUUAUGAAGCUGUAGAUGCCGUGAGUGCAGUGUUGUUGGUUGUGCUGUAAAGAGAAAAUGAGUUGUUGCUUCUGUGUGGUAUUAGAGCAACUGCAGUGGUGCGAUCAAAACCAAAGACUAAAGAGCAAAAAAACGACCAAAUUUUGGGUUUA